rnacentral:rRNA from 1 species
CUCCCAUAGAUCUAGACUGCUGGAAUGCUUUUAGAUUGAAAGAUUUAUCGCCUAAGGAUAAGUCUGCGGACUAUCAGGUUGUAGUCAGGGUAAAGACCUGACUAGCCUACGACGGAUACGGGUAGUGAGAGCUUUAGCCCGGAGAUGAUAUCUGAGACACGAUAUCAGGCCCUACGGGGCGCAGCAGGCGCGAAAACUUCGCACUGUGCGAAAGCACGACGAGGGAAUCCCAAGUGCUGGCUCGUAAGAGUCAGCUGUUUUUCUGUCUAAAAAACAGAGAGAGUAAGGCCUGGGUAAGACGGGUGCCAGCCGCCGCGGUAAUACCUGCAGACCAAGUGGUGGCCGCUAUUAUUGGGCCUAAAACGUCCGUAGCCGGUUCUAUAAAUGCCUGGGUAAAUCGUACGGCUUAACCGUACGAAUUCCGGGUAGACUGUUCAACUUGGGACCGGGAGAGGCUAGAGGUACUCCUGGGGUAGAGGUGAAAUUCUGUAAUCCUAGGGGGACCACCAGUGGCGAAGGCGUCUAGCUAGCACGGGUCUGACGGUGAGGGACGAAGCCCUGGGGAGCAAACGGGAUUAGAUACCCCGGUAGUCCAGGGUGUAAACGCUGCUCGCUUGAUGUUAGUCGGGCUCCGAGCCCGAUUAGUGUCGGAGAGAAGUUGUUAAGCGAGCUGCCUGGGGAGUACGGUCGCAAGNNUGAAACUUAA